UGUAGCUCAGUGGUAGAGCACUUGCCUACCAAGUAUAAGGUCCUGGGUUCAAUCCCCAAUA
rnacentral:tRNA from 1 species